rnacentral:rRNA from 1 species
CAGCAGUGGGGAAUAUUGCACAAUGGGCGGAAGCCUGAUGCAGCAACGCCGCGUGCGGGAUGACGGCCUUCGGGUUGUAAACCGCUUUCGCCUGUGACGAAGCGUGAGUGACGGUAAUGGGUAAAGAAGCACCGGCUAACUACGUG